rnacentral:lncRNA from 1 species
AUAUUAAAAACAACAAUUUAUUGAAAAAGAGUAAUGCUUUAUACAAAUUCCCAUUACAAACCCCUGAAAUAUCUAUCCGUUUCCAAGUAGGGUAGUAGAGUACAAAAAUAUCAAAGUCAGACAGAUUCUGGUGUCACAAUUCUGUUGCCCAUUUUGUACUAUGGAUAUCUUUUCAGAGUUUACCAACUAGUAAUCACAUGUAUUAAUACUUGCCCAUCAGUAGGAUCUAUGAAGGUAGCCGAGAUUCUUUGAAUUACACAUUCUAGGAGCACAGACUUUCAGGUUUGGACGACACACUAAAAUUUACUAGGUUCAAGUACUAUGAUUCAAUCCUUUGGAUAACUUCCCCUAGGUGGUUUCACUAUGAGUUAUAUUUCUAAACUACCUAUCCUAGCCAUGUUAGCUGCCAGCUAGUAGCAAUACCUCUGAUGACAUCACUUAACCAAUAUCCAUCUUGUAUACCCUUACAAGUUAUUAAAACUCAAAAAAUCUUCCAUUCUUUGGUCAACACUUACACUUCCAUUUUACCCAUUACAUCUGCAAACUUGUUCUAGGUCAAGUCUGCAUUCCUGAAAGGAGAAAAUCUUAGCCACGCAAAAAGCAUCAGGCCACCUUGAUCAAAGAAAACUAAGACUUCCUUAAAGUUUUUUUCACUUAGCAAGCUGAAAUUCAUUUGUCUCCUCACUUAUGAGGUUGGUUAAGACAGGAAAUCAAUUUCUUAAAAUUUCUCUUUUCAGUCAUUUGAAAAAUAGUCUAAAAUCUAUGUGCUUAAAUUCUUUCCCCCA